UUGUAAUUUGCAGAAGGUGCUUCGGGUGCGACGAUGGUCCAAGUCCCUUGGAACUGGGCGUCAUAGAGGGUGAGAAUCCCGUAUGUCACCAUUUGUCUAUCCCAUGUGAAGCCCUUUCGACGAGUCGAGUUGUUUGGGAAUGCAGCUCUAAAUGGGUGGUAAAUUUCAUCUAAAGCUAAAUACCUGCCAGAGACCGAUAGCGCACAAGUAGAGUGAUCGAAAGAUGAAAAGAACUUUGAAAAGAGAGUUAAACAGUACGUGAAAUUGUUAAAAGGGAAGCGCUUGCAAUCAGACUUGUUUGCAGAAGUUCAGCUAUUCUUCGGGAUGGUGUAUUCUUUUGCAUACAGGCCAGCAUCGGUUUCGGCGGACGGAUAAAGGUCUUGGGAAUGUAGCUCUCCUCGGAGAGUGUUAUAGCCUGAGGCAUAAUGCGUCCUGUCGAGACUGAGGACCGCGCUUUUGCUAGGAUGCUGGCGUAAUGGUUGCCAGCGACCCGUCUUGAAACACGGACCAGUAAGUUCCCAAUAUAUCGUUAUUAUAUUUACAGGCUGACUUUUAUACAGAGGAGUCGACCAAUCGCGCGAGUGUUUGGGCGUAAAACCCAAGCGCGUAGUGAAAGCAAACGUAGGUGGGAGCCUUUGGGCGCACCAUCGACCGAUCUUGAUGUCUUCGGAUGGAUUUGAGUAUGAGCACGAUCGGUCGGACCCGAAAGAUGGUGAACUAUGCGUGAAUAGAAUGAAGCCAGGGGAAACCCUGGUGGAAGUUCGCAGCGGUUCUGACGUGCAAAUCGAUCGUCAAAUUUGCGCAUAGGGGCGAAAGACUAAUCGAACCGUCAGUAGCUGGUUCCUGUCGAAGUUUCCCUCAGGAUAGCAGCAACGAGAAACAGUCUCAUGAGGUAGAGCGAACGAUUAGAGGCCUUGGGGUUGAAACAACCUUAACCUAUUCUCGAACUUCGAAUAUGUGAGAAGUCCUUGUU
rnacentral:rRNA from 1 species